CUCACAACAGCCCGCGGAGGGGGCUCUCCAGUUUGAAGUUGACCUUCCAAGCUGUUCUCUGCGGCCCUCGCCCCCGACCUCAUUCCAUGCCCCUUGGGUCCUCACCUCAUGAGGACUGCCCAGCACCCACCCCCCAGCUCAGCGUCAGUAGUGCAGUGGUUAUCACCCAGCUUCAAGGCGUGGAGGCUGCUCUGUCUGCAGCGCCUCCCACCCUGCCCUCUGUCCGAGUAAUCUGGGUCAGGCUGGUUCCACCUUAAGCUCCAUGUGACCCUGACCUUGCCAGCCCAUCGCUGUGCCAGGUGACUGAGACACUGGAGUGGACACCUGACCGAAGUCAGGCCAAUCAGAGGCUGGAGACUCAACUCGCUCGGAAUUUUGUUGAAGCCAUUAGAUAGCCCACAGCCACAGAGCCAGCCCCCCGCUGUGCUCAGGUGGUGCUGGGGAGGAGGAGAGAGCCCCACAGAAGAAGCAAAGGAUAACUUGUGAAGAUAUCCAAGGAGCCUCCAGUUGUCGCUGGCCUCUGCCACCCCUAUGUGUGAACAAGCAAGGUGGAAUCAUCUCACAAUGUGAGAAAGGAAGGAAGGAAGAAAAGAUCGGUCAUGAACAUAAAGCAUCUCCCUCGUCUGCACAUCUGAGUGUGUGUGCAAAUUUACAACCCUGCUACAUAAACAUGAAGCAGAAUUGAGAAUACAGAAAUGGUAAAACACGAUAAACCAGAGACAAUGGUGAGAAAGGAAACCAACAGCACAUGUGGUUAAGUCUUAAUUGCUGUUCCUGAACAUUUCAGAAAUUUAGUUUUAAAUGUGAUUAGAAAGAAUCAUAAAAAUAGA